GUUGUCGCCGCCGCAGGGAAGCUCCACUGCGCUCCGCCACCUCCACCCUCCUCCUCCAGUCCUCGAGGGAUUCAGAUCCAGAUCCAGGUGCUCCUCCUCCGGUCCUCCAUCUCCUCUGCAUCACCCUUCCCUAAUCCUCCUCCUUUUCCUCACAGGUUCACCUCUGUUCAUCUUCUUGCUAGAUCUGCGGGGAGACUGCGAGGAGCAGCGGCGAGGUGCCUAGCGGAGAGGUGAGCCGGCGGAUCGUCCAUCCCCUCCUCCUCCCUUGGGCUAGGGCCGGGUCUUCAAGAACGAGCGGCGGUGUUUCUCUUGAGGCGAAUUUGGCCUGCUGCGCGUUGGAGGGGUGCAUCCAGUGGUUCCUUGACCUGGUGGACACGCUGUUCGGCGACGGCGGGCAGGAUCUCUACGUCAGGCUUGCAAAGUCUGAACUAGGACACUAGAUAGGACAAAGACACUGAAAUUAAAGGACGAACAGAGAAGAGAUGGACCAAAUAAAACAGGCACCAUGCGCGCCUGCAUGCUUGGAUCCAAAGCAAGGUGGACCCGAAUGUUCCAUUGAGCAAUAAUGCAGCGCCAACUACUCCAUAUCGAGCAUGUUUGGAGAACUAACUUUUGAGUAUUUGGACUAGAGCUAUUUAGCUUAAUCAAAUGGCCCUUCACAUGUUUAGAUCUAAGAGCUAUUUAACAUUUAAAGCAUCUUUUCCCAAUGGCUUGGAGACCCAUUAUCUCUCUUGUUUCAGUGGGUCCCAUCCGAAAUAGCCCGAAUAAUCAGGUUUUGAAUGAGAUAGUUUUUGAUAGGUUAUUUGUAAAUAGCCAAGAACUAGCUUUCAUGUUUAAAAAUUUUGAGCUAUUUUAAAUUAAAAAGAGGUGGCAAGAAA